ACUGCAAGUCGAGCGGACAGAUGGGAGCUUGCUCCCUGAUGUUAGCGGCGGACGGGUGAGUAACACGUGGGUAACCUGCCUGUAAGACUGGGAUAACUCCGGGAAACCGGGGCUAAUACCGGAUGGUUGUUUGAACCGCAUGGUUCAAACAUAAAAGGUGGCUUCGGCUACCACUUACAGAUGGACCCGCGGCGCAUUAGCUAGUUGGUGAGGUAACGGCUCACCAAGGCAACGAUGCGUAGCCGACCUGAGAGGGUGAUCGGCCACACUGGGACUGAGACACGGCCCAGACUCCUACGGGAGGCAGCAGUAGGGAAUCUUCCGCAAUGGACGAAAGUCUGACGGAGCAACGCCGCGUGAGUGAUGAAGGUUUUCGGAUCGUAAAGCUCUGUUGUUAGGGAAGAACAAGUACCGUUCGAAUAGGGCGGUACCUUGACGGUACCUAACCAGAAAGCCACGGCUAACUACGUGCCAGCAGCCGCGGUAAUACGUAGGUGGCAAGCGUUGUCCGGAAUUAUUGGGCGUAAAGGGCUCGCAGGCGGUUUCUUAAGUCUGAUGUGAAAGCCCCCGGCUCAACCGGGGAGGGUCAUUGGAAACUGGGGAACUUGAGUGCAGAAGAGGAGAGUGGAAUUCCACGUGUAGCGGUGAAAUGCGUAGAGAUGUGGAGGAACACCAGUGGCGAAGGCGACUCUCUGGUCUGUAACUGACGCUGAGGAGCGAAAGCGUGGGGAGCGAACAGGAUUAGAUACCCUGGUAGUCCACGCCGUAAACGAUGAGUGCUAAGUGUUAGGGGGUUUCCGCCCCUUAGUGCUGCAGCUAACGCAUUAAGCACUCCGCCUGGGGAGUACGGUCGCAAGACUGAAACUCAAGGAAUGACGGGGGCCGCACAAGCGGUGGAGCAUGUGGUUUAAUUCGAACAACGCGAAGAACCUUACCGGUCUUGACUCCUCUGACAUCCUAAGAUAGGACGUCCCCUUCGGGGGCAAUGACAGGUGGGCAUGC
rnacentral:rRNA from 1 species